rnacentral:lncRNA from 1 species
CGUUAGACCGAACGACGGAAGGCAAAUUCUCGAUCGGACGAUCGAGCCACUAGCCGUGACAUCGAUUACGUCCGUCGUGACCUUUGAUUCUUUAAUCGAUGACUCGGCGCGCUGAGUGCGAGUUGGGACACCGUGCAACGAGCCAUCGACGUAAUACUUUUGCGGACACCUGUAGCGCUUCUGCUCGAGCAAAGCGUCGACUACCUGUUAUUAGCGGACCACGAGCACGCGACUGACUGUACGACGAACGACAUUGUCUCGGUUCGUGGCAUAAUUAACACUCGUGGUAUCAAUUAGUACCUUUUCGCCUAGACGUUUAUCUCUUUUCUUUGUAGCUCAACUUGGUUGUAACUUGUAAUCAACAUGAAUAUCACAUAAUUAUUAACAAACAGUAUACAUUUUUUUAAAUAAAUAACACACAUAUAUGGGAAAAUCCACAAGUUAAAUGUAAUGUAAGAAUAUGGUUGCUAUUGGCUGUGUUUGAGGAAUCCGCUUCUAUGUAAGUACGUUCCUUCAGCAAGGCAUGAAGCACUGACCACUGAGUACAUACCAGCAGUCGGCAAAACACAGAAAGAGUAAAAGAGAGAGGAUAAGGAGAGAGAAAAAGAGAGAGAGAGAGAGAGAGAGAGAGAAUGGGAGACGAUGGUGGAAGGGGAGGAGGAGAAAAGAGAGCUCGUUCGCGGUUGCAGAUGCUGGCGAUAACGCGUAUAAAAGGUGUAUCUACAUUUAGUUCGGACAGGCAGCACUUUAUUCGCUUGGCGAGCGCUAACAAGUGUUUUCCAUCGGUUUAAGCGGCGCUACGGUGCUUUUAGAGACCCGCCGUGGUGCAACCGGCCUGCUGCGAAGUCGCUCUUUGCGCGAGCGUUGGGUGCGAGCAUUGGGUGCCGCCUUGGAAACGGUCCCACGGCCGGUUUUCGUACGUAUGCGCGUAGGUUGCCAGAUAGAUAGAUCGUAUUAACAUGAAAAAAGAAAAUCCAAAAAAAAAAACAGAAAAUAACUUUUCCCAAGAGGCUAUAAAGUAAAUGAUCGGCAGAAAGUAUAGAAGAGAAAAUAAGAUAAAGGAAGAGAAGAUGGAACGAAGAACGUAACGCUCGACAUAACAUAAGAAAUAAACACAGACACACAUAUAUCUGGCCGUUGAAUCUAAAAGAGACCGGGGAGAAGAUUCACGGUCGUGUCCAUGGCGUUUAGUUUCUUCUUACGUUGGAGCGCCGUAGAUGUUCGCACGGGAUUCAUGGCACUCGUCAUAACGCAGAAGCUUGGGCUUGCUAUCUGAUUCGCAUUCGUUAUUGCCUUCACUGUCUCUUUCUUCUUCUUCUUCUUUCUCGUUUUCGUCUUCGUCUUCGUCUUCGUCUUCGCCUUUAAUGCUCGAAAUGUUCAAAAAAAAAAAGAGAAAAGAAGAGAAGAAGAUAGAGAAAGAGAGUGGAAGAACGUUUGAUACUUUACAAUCGGCGGCUUGCGUGCAGGAAGCGAUCGAACUCACGAAGUCGAAGAGGUAGAAAACGAAAGAGAGUAAAAGAAA